rnacentral:rRNA from 1 species
GACGAACGCUGGCGGCGUGCUUAACACAUGCAAGUCGAACGGAAAGGCCCUGCUUUUGUGGGGUGCUCGAGUGGCGAACGGGUGAGUAACACGUGAGUAACCUGCCCUUUACUUUGGGAUAACUUCAGGAAACUGGGGCUAAUACCGGAUAGGAGCUCCUGCUGCAUGGUGGGGGUUGGUAAGUUUCGGCGGUUGGGGAUGGACUCGCGGCUUAUCAGCUUGUUGGUGGGGUAGUGGCUUACCAAGGCUUUGACGGGUAGCCGGCCUGAGAGGGUGACCGGCCACAUUGGGACUGAGAUACGGCCCAGACUCCUACGGGAGGCAGCAGUGGGGAAUAUUGCACAAUGGGCGGAAGCCUGAUGCAGCAACGCCGCGUGCGGGAUGACGGCCUUCGGGUUGUAAACCGCUUUCGCCUGUGACGAAGCGUGAGUGACGGUAAUGGGUAAAGAAGCACCGGCUAACUACGUG